rnacentral:rRNA from 1 species
CCUACGGGUGGCAGCAGUGAGGAAUAUUGGUCAAUGGGCGAGAGCCUGAACCAGCCAAGUCGCGUGAGGGAAGACGGUCCUAUGGAUUGUAAACCUCUUUUGCCGGGGAGCAAAAAGCGGUACGUGUACCGCAUCGAGAGUACCCGGAGAAAAAGCAUCGGCUAACUCCGUGCCAGCAGCCGCGGUAAUACGGAGGAUGCGAGCGUUAUCCGGUUUUAUUGGGUUUAAAGGGUGCGCAGGCGGCGAGUUAAGUCAGCGGUAAAAUUUCGGGGCUCAACCCCGACAAGCCGUUGAUACUGGAUGGCUAGAGAGGGCGAGAAGUAUGCGGAAUGCGUAGUGUAGCGGUGAAAUGCAUAGAUAUCACGCAGAACUCCGAUUGCGAAGGCAGCAUGCCGGCGCCCAACUGACACUCAGGCACGAAAGCGUGGGGAUCGAACAGGAUUAGAUACCCGAGUAGUC